rnacentral:rRNA from 1 species
AACGAACGCCGGCGGCGCGUCUUAAGCAUGCAAGUCGAGCGGCAAGCGGUAGCAAUAUCGCCUAGAGCGGCGGACUGGUGAGUAACACGUGGGUGAUCUACCUUCUGGAUGGGGAUAGCCUGUGGAAACACAGGAUAAUACCGAAUACGUUGGCAGGGUUGCGGCCUUGCCAGGAAGGGUCCGUUUGGACCGCCGGAAGAUGAGCCUGCGGCUGAUUAGCUUGUUGGCGGGGUAAUGGCCCACCAAGGCGAUGAUCAGUAGCCGGACUGAGAGGUUGAACGGCCACAUUGGGACUGAGAUACGGCCCAAACUCCUACGGGAGGCAGCAGCUAAGAAUAUUCCGCAAUGGACGAAAGUCUGACGGAGCGACGCCGCGUGGAUGACGAAGGCCGAAAGGUUGUAAAAUCCUUUUGCUGGUGAAGAAUAAGUCUGGGAGGAAAUGCCCGGAUGAUGACAUGAACCGGUGAAUAAGCCCCGGCAAACUACGUGCCAGCCGCCGCGGUAAAAC